GCCUGGGUGGCUCAGUCAGUUGAGUGUCUGACUUUGGCUCAGGUCAUAUUCUUGCAAUUCGUGGGUUCGAGCCCCGCAUCAGGCU
rnacentral:tRNA from 1 species